rnacentral:rRNA from 1 species
CCUACGGGAGGCAGCAGUGAGGAAUAUUGGUCAAUGGGCGAGACCCUGAACCAGCGAAGUCGCGUGAAUGAUGACGGCCCUACGGGUUGUAAGCUUCUUUUGUCAGGGAGAAAUUGGGUCCACGCGUGGGCGUAGCGAGAGUACCUGAAGAAAAAGCAUCGGCUAACUCCGUGCGAGCGGCCGCGGUAAUACGGAGGAUUCGGGGGUUAGCCGGAUUUGUUGGGGUUAAAGGGCGCGUAGGGGGAAUAUCAAGUCAGCGGUAAAACUUCGGGGCUAAACCCCGUCGUGCCGUUGAAACUGAUGUUCUUGAGUGGGCGAGAAGUAGGCGGAAUGCGUGGUGUAGCGGUGAAAUGCAUAGAUAUCACGCAGAACUCCGAUUGCGAAGGCAGCAUACCGGCGCGCAACUGACGCUGAAGCACGAAAGCGUGGGUAUCGAACAGGAUUAGAUACCCCUGUAGUC